GACGUAGGGUCCAAGCGUUGUCCGGAAUUAUUGGGCGUAAAGAGCUCGUAGGCGGUCUGUCGCGUCUGCUGUGAAAAUCCAGGGCUCAACCCUGGACCUGCAGUGGGUACGGGCAGACUAGAGUGCGGUAGGGGAGAUCGGAAUUCCUGGUGUAGCGGUGAAAUGCGCAGAUAUCAGGAGGAACACCGGUGGCGAAGGCGGAUCUCUGGGCCGUAACUGACGCUGAGGAGCGAAAGCAUGGGGAGCGAACAGG
rnacentral:rRNA from 1 species